rnacentral:tRNA from 1 species
UAUAGCUCAGCAGCAUAAGCACCUGCCUGGCAAGCACGAGGUCCUGGCUUCGAAUACCAGUA